ACCAGGCCCCGGGGCCGCGACGCGUCUCUCCAGCCCGGGAUCCGGGGAGCUGGGCUGUCCCCAGACCGACGGGACAGCGGCAUCUCCUCCACCUGAAAAGGAAAGAGGACCAGUUUGCAGGACUCCGAACUGGGCCCGCGAGAUCUCCACCUGCGCAAAACGAAAGGGCGGAUUCUCCUUGGACUCACGAGGCAACCGCUCCCCGGGGUGAGAACGGGGGACUCAUUCCUCCGGCACUGGGAGAAGACGAUUCUUUAGGAGGAGGACAGGGAAGCGAAUGCUACCCAGAUGUCUCAGUAUACUGGCUCGCGGCACAUCGGGCAAAUGAACCUAUCAGAUAACAACGGCAGAUCAGAUGCCUGAGCAUUCAGAAGCAACAGCUGUGGAGCCCCCGUGGGUUCAGAAGGCCUGGUUCCCGUCUCCAGAAGCCUGGCUCUCCUCCCUCCUGGGCCCACUACUUUGGCUUCUUGUUCCUACGUACAAGGAGUUGCGAAGAAGGCAACUCUUCCCCUCCCUGAAGCCAAAGGAAUGAAACAGACUAGGGCGGGAGAGGUGGCCAUCCGUCAUUAGUUGCGGCCAUCAGUAACAGCAACAGGACACGGAACCUAAGGCUGUAUCCAUCCUGGGCCCCCAGGGAAACAUCAGCGGGAGCGGUACUAAGGAAGUGCUCAUCUCUUAGAGACAAAGGCCCAUGGAGGGGAACAGUAACCAUCCCCUCCCAAUUCAGAAAAUGUUAACAUAAGCACUUCAUUUCUCAUGCAGAUAACCACAUAAGUCUAUUAAUAAGAAAGAAAGAGAAAGAAAAAAAAGAAAAAGGAAUCCAUGCCAGCAGGGUAUAGGAAUUGGUCUAUAGGAGAAAGGGUCACCCACUGAAAGGUGGGCUGAAUAGAAUUCCUUGCCUGGGCUUUGAGGUCCUGGCAUGGAGAAGGCUGUAGAAAUGCUGGCAUCAGUGGAACCCUCAAUAAACAGAAUUCUUGUUAAAAAAAAAAAAAAAAAAAAAAAA
rnacentral:lncRNA from 1 species